CUGGGCUAUUCAUGGAGCACGAAAUUGAUGAGGCGCUGGAACAGGUGGCAGAGACGACGACAGCACAGCUGUUCCAUGGCGGUUCUGGCGAUUCAGCUUAGUGAUAUUGUUUGCUGCAUCUGACGCUGUUAGUGAUCAAGGGUGUAGCAACUGGAGGCAGCUAGCGAAAAUGGUCAAUCAUCUCCUUCAAACUUUGUAGUGUGUGGAUCAUGUAAUGUGUUUCUUUUGGUUCUGUUUGAUCUUCACUUUCAGUACCGUUAAAAACCAUGGAUUUAUGUAAUGAUGAUUAAUAUGCGUCUCCAUUUAUU